GUACUUGUUUUGACAGUACAUGUGCUAAAAUUAGAAUGAUACAGGGAAGAUUAGCAUGGCCCCUGGGCUAGGAAGACAGACAAAUUCUUGAAGUGUUCCUAAAGAAA
rnacentral:snRNA from 1 species